ACACUUUUCGCUCAUUUAGAGUAAACUAAUAACAUUGUAGCUAUUUAAAGGCACUACGACUAUUUUUAAUGAUCAUUCAAAUGAUUUAAUUUGUUUGCUUAGGAAGGAGGGAGUGACAGUCAAAGUCCUUCGGCAUUKUCAAUGCUUGGACAACUCCACAACAACCAGCAGUAUCCCCGCAKGUCGAUCAGUGGGAUUAAGCAACAGGUGCAACAGACUGAAAUAAUGCUGCGGUUAAGAAAUGUUCCUCAAGAACAAAGUGAGCUUGAUCCGGUAACCCUUAGACAGCAGAUGAUCUUGUGGAGAUCAGGCUACCAAGAAUCAGCAGCAAACAUCAAUGUGGUAUGCAUCUAACUUGGGUAUUUAUAGAGA